GUAAGAACUACACAACGAGUUAGAGUACCUUAGCAAAACUUUGCUAUCAGGUUGAGUUGUGAUGGGCGAUGAAGUGUUGUUGCUGAGUAGAGUUUUUGUCGAACUUAAAGUAGGCUCAGAAAGGAUACAUGUCUUCAUACAUGUAUCUCAGUUAUGCAUUCCGCUGUAAACACUGAUUAUUUCAGUUACGCCUUCCGUUGCAAACUCUGAUAAUGUUUUAGCCAAGCCCCUAACGAUGCCUUUUUCCUUUUUAAGGAAUAUUUCACGCGUA